rnacentral:rRNA from 1 species
UACGAAGGGGGGCUAGCGUUGCUCGGAAUCACUGGGCGUAAAGCGCACGUAGGCGGAUCGUUAAGUCAGGGGUGAAAUCCUGGAGCUCAACUCCAGAACUGCCUUUGAUACUGGACGACCUUGAGUUCGGGAGAGGUGAGUGGAACUGCGAGUGUAGAGGUGAAAUUCGUAGAUAUUCGCAAGAACACCAGUGGCGAAGGCGGCUCACUGGCCCGGUACUGACGCUGAGGUGCGAAAGCGUGGGGAGCGAACAGG